UAGAAUGGGUGUCCCAAUUCAAGUCAAUGAGGCCCUAAUGGGUGGACCGGUGGGCAGUACUUAACAUAAUUAAAUAUAAGAAUGUAGGAAACUGGGGAAAUAUGGAGAACAAUGAAGAAUAGAGGGAAAACAUUAACAACAAAAUGAAGGGAGAAAAUAGUCCACAGAAGAGAGAGGGAAUACAAUAUUCUAAGUGGUAUGCUCGUUUGGAUAUUGGAACAUACCGCAUAACACAUUUGGGAGGAGCAAAAACAACACCAUGCCAUGAGAGAGAAAAUCAGUUGGAACUGGGAAAGGCUACAGUUCGCUCUAACUGCUGUCAUUCACUGUUUCAUCAGUGGCCAAUUCAACACUCUUUCCACAAAGAAGUUGGUCUAGCAAUAGCUUGAAUGUGUACUACAUCAGUUUUUACAUUGCUGAUGCAUUUCAAAAGACCCCUUCAGAGGAAGUUGCCACCCCUAUUUCGAUCAUUCUAGUAAUAGAGCGGAAAUGCUUGUUACGGUUCCACCUCUGAAGAAUGAUGGGAGUCUACUUAUACAUAUUCACGAAUCUGGGGUGGGAAGGCCUCAGCUCGAGACGUCUUGUUUUCCUCCGGGUGUUAUCCUUGUGACAGCGUGGCUGGAGUUAUGUCUUCUGGGGUGCGUUGGAAAAUACCAUUCAAUGAAGUCCUCUGUUUGGAACACUUUGGAGGUUGCCUCGUCUCACUAAUAGGAGAUAGUUGUCAAUAAGCCACAGACCUGCUUAUUCUGGAGGGUCCUCCCUCACAACACUAUUUUCAUUUGCUUUCAUGGCUCAGGACGCAAGGCUGUUUGGCUCAGCUCAUUUGCGAAGAGGAAGAACUUGGCAGCUGUUUCUGAUUAAUAAACAAUGCCAUGCUGGUGGGUGGUAACAUUCAAAUAAAAUCCAGCCCUGAAAAUAAAUGUAGUUUGAAAAAUAAUUUGUACGUUAUCUCAUUGGAAAAUACGGAUUUCCACGAAUGUCCCACUUCAAGGCCAAAUAUAUCACUUUGACUAAAAUGAUGA